rnacentral:rRNA from 1 species
AGGUUAAGUACUUAAGGUACGGAGCCGAAGUGAAAGCAAGUGUUAACAGCACGUUGAGUCAGACCGGGCAGACCCGAAACCGGGUGAUCUACCCAUGUCCAGGUUGAAGUUGCCGUAAAAGGCAAUGGAGGACCGAACGCACAUCCGUUGAAAAGGGUGGCGAUGAGGUGUGGGUAGGGGAGAAAUUCCAAUCGAACCCGGAGAUAGCUGGUUCUCCUCGAAAUAGCUUUAGGGCUAGCCUCAUUUUAGUCUUAUGGAGGUAGAGCACUGAAUUUCCGCGGGGGCGUCAAAGCUUACCAAAGAAUAUCAAACUCCGAAUGCCAUGUAGAUGAUGAUCGGGAGUCAGACUGCACGAGAUAAGUUGGGCAGUCAAAAGGGAAAGAGCCCAGACCACCGGCUAAGGUCCCAAAGUGCGUGUUAAGUGGAAAAGGAUGUGGGAAUUCGAAGACAACUAGGAUGUUGGCUCAGAAGCAGCCAUACAUUCAAAGAGUGCGUAACAGCUCACUAGUCGAGAGUUCCUGCGCCGAAAAUGUCCGGGGCUGAAACACGACACCGAAGCCGUGGACUCGCAAUGCGAGUGGUAGAGGAGCAUUCUUAAAACCGACGAAGCUGUACCGGAAGGAGCAGUGGAGGGAUAAGAAGAGAGAAUGCCGGAAUGAGUAGCGAGAGAAAGGUGGGAAUCCUUUCGGCCGAAUAUCUAAGGUUUCCAGAGUAAAGCUGAUCUGCUCUGGGUAAGUCGGGGCCUAAGCACAGGUCGCAAGACGUAAGCGAUGGAUAACAGGUUUAGAUUCCUGUACCACGCAUUAUCAGAACUGUAGGGACGCAUGUGGAAAGCACGGGCUGGGAAUGGAAAGACCGGUACAAGCGGGGUAGGUGUACAAUAGGCAAAUCCGUUGUAUAAUCCGAAGACGUGAUGUGGAGCGAAAUAAAGUAGCAAAGCGUGUGAGCCAUGUGCCGAGAAAAGCUGCUAUUGUGUAAUGCGUGCCCGUACCGUAAACCGACACAGGUGGAUGAGGAGAGAAUCCUAAGGCCGACGGAAGAAGCAUUGUUAAGGAAUUCGGCAAAAUGACCCCGUAACUUCGGGAGAAGGGGUGCCUGCGAGAGCAGGCCGCAGAGAAUAGGCUCAAGCAACUGUUUAGCAAAAACACAGGUCUAUGCGAAACCGAAAGGUGAAGUAUAUGGGCUGACGCCUGCCCGGUGCUGGAAGGUUAAGAGGAGAGGUUAGCGCAAGCGAAGCUUUGAAUUUAAGCCCCAGUAAACGGCGGCCGUAACUAUAACGGUCCUAAGGUAGCGAAAUUCCUUGUCGGGUAAGUUCCGACCCGCACGAAAGGCGUAAUGAUUUGGGCACUGUCUCGACAAUGCACCCGGUGAAAUUGAAAUACCAGUGAAGAUGCUGGUUACCUGCGCCAGGACGGAAAGACCCCAUGGAGCUUUACUCUAGCUUGAUACUGGGAUUCGGUAUUGCAUGUACAGGAUAGGUGGGAGACUAAGAGGUGAUGACGCCAGUUGUCACGGAGUCGAUGUUGGGAUACCACCCCUGCAGUACUGGGUUUCUAACCUGCGGCCGUGACCCGGCCGGGGGACAAUGUCUGGUGGGGAGUUUGACUGGGGCGGUCGCCUCCGAAAGGGUAUCGGAGGCGCUCAAAGGUUCCCUCAGAAUGGUUGGAAACCAUUCGAAGAGUGCAAAGGCAGAAGGGAGCUUGACUGCGACACCGACGGGUGGAGCAGGUACGAAAGUAGGACUUAGUGAUCCGGUGGUAUGAAAGUGGGAUUGCCAUCGCUCAACGGAUAAAAGCUACCCUGGGGAUAACAGGCUUAUCACUCCCAAGAGUUCACAUCGACGGAGUGGUUUGGCACCUCGAUGUCGGCUCAUCGCAUCCUGGGGCUGUAGUAGGUCCCAAGGGUUGGGCUGUUCGCCCAUUAAAGCGGUACGCGAGCUGGGUUCAGAACGUCGUGAGACAGUUCGGUCCCUAUCCGGCGUGGGCGCAGGAUAUCUGAGAGGAGCUGUCCUUAGUACGAGAGGACCGGGAUGGACUGACCUCUGGUGCAUCGGUUGAGCCACCAGGCUCAUGGCCGAGUAGCCAAGUCGGGACGGGAUAAACGCUGAAGGCAUCUAAGCGUGAAGCCCCCCUCAAGAUGAGAUAUCCCAUAGAGUUAAUCUAGUAAGACCCCUUGAAGACGACGAGGUAGAUAGGCAGAAGGUGGAAGUGUGGUGACAUAUGGAGCUGAUCUGUACUAAUAGGUCGAGGGCUUAACCGA